UACGUAGGGGGCAAGCGUUAUCCGGAUUUACUGGGUGUAAAGGGAGCGCAGGCGGCGCGUUAAGUCUGAUGUGAAAACCCGCGGCUCAACUGCGGGACUGCUUUUGAAACUGCCAGGCUAGAGUGUCGGAGAGGUAAGUGGAAUUCCUAGUGUAGCGGUGAAAUGCGUAGAUAUUAGGAGGAACACCAGUGGCGAAGGCGGCUUACUGGACGAUGACUGACGCUGAGGCUCGAAAGCGUGGGGAGCAAACAGG
rnacentral:rRNA from 1 species